GAUGAACGCUAGCUACAGGCUUAACACAUGCAAGUCGAGGGGCAGCAUGACGAUAGCUUGCUAUUGUUGAUGGCGACCGGCGCACGGGUGAGUAACGCGUAUCCAACCUGACCUUGUCCACCGGAUAACCCGUCGAAAGGCGGACUAACACGGUAUGCAGUCCACAGCAGGCAUCUAAAGUGGACGCAAUGUGUAGGAGAAGGAUGGGUAUGCGUCUGAUUAGCUUGUUGGCGGGGUAACGGCCCACCAAGGCGACGAUCAGUAGGGGUUCUGAGAGGAAGGUCCCCCACAUUGGAACUGAGACACGGUCCAAACUCCUACGGGAGGCAGCAGUGAGGAAUAUUGGUCAAUGGGCGAGAGCCUGAACCAGCCAAGUAGCGUGCAGGAAGACGGCCCUAUGGGUUGUAAACUGCUUUUAUACGGGGAUAAAGUGAGUCACGUGUGGCUUAUUGCAGGUACCGUAUGAAUAAGGACCGGCUAAUUCCGUGCCAGCCGCCGCAGUAA
rnacentral:rRNA from 1 species